rnacentral:rRNA from 1 species
GAUGAACGCUGGCGGCGUGCCUAAUACAUGCAAGUCGAGCGAACAGACGAGGAGCUUGCUCCUCUGACGUUAGCGGCGGACGGGUGAGUAACACGUGGAUAACCUACCUAUAAGACUGGGAUAACUUCGGGAAACCGGAGCUAAUACCGGAUAAUAUAUUGAACCGCAUGGUUCAAUAGUGAAAGACGGUUUUGCUGUCACUUAUAGAUGGAUCCGCGCCGCAUUAGCUAGUUGGUAAGGUAACGGCUUAUCAAGGCAACGAUGCGUAGCCGACCUGAGAGGGUGAUCGGCCACACUGGAACUGAGACACGGUCCAGACUACUACGGGAGGCAGCAGUAGGGAAUCUUCCGCAAUGGGCGAAAGCCUGACGGAGCAACGCCGCGUGAGUGAUGAAGGUCUUCGGAUCGUAAAACUCUGUUAUUAGGGAAGAACAAAUGUGUAAGUAACUAUGCACGUCUUGACGGUACCUAAUCAGAAAGCCACGGCUAACUACGUG